GAUGAACGCUGGCGGCGUGCCUAAUACAUGCAAGUCGAGCGAACGGACGAGAAGCUUGCUUCUCUGAUGUUAGCGGCGGACGGGUGAGUAACACGUGGAUAACCUACCUAUAAGACUGGGAUAACUUCGGGAAACCGUAGCUAAUACCGUAUAAUAUUUUGAACCGCAUGGUUCAAAAGUGAAAGAGGGUCUUGCUGUCACUUAUAGAUGGAUCCGCGCUGCAUUAGCUAGUUGGUAAGGUAACGGCUUACCAAGGCAACGAUGCAUAGCCGACCUGAGAGGGUGAUCGGCCACACUGGAACUGAGACACGGUCCAGACUCCUACGGGAGGCAGCAGUAGGGAAUCUUCCGCAAUGGGCGAAAGCCUGCCGGAGCAACGCCGCGUGAGUGAUGAAGGUCUUCGGAUCGUAAAACUCUGUUAUUAGGGAAGAACAUAUGUGUAAGUAACUGUGCACAUCUUGACGGUACCUAAUCAGAAAGCCACGGCUAACUACGUG
rnacentral:rRNA from 1 species